rnacentral:rRNA from 1 species
GUGCAGCAGGCGAGAAUCUUUCGCAAUGGGCGAAAGCCUGACGAAGCGACGCUACGUGAGCGAUGAAGGCCUUCGGGUUGUAAAGCUCUUUCGCGCAGGAACAAGAAAGAGGGGCGAAUAUCCCCUCAAUUUGAGGGUACUGCGAUAAGAAGCGCCGGCUAACUCCGUGCCAGCAGCUGCGGUAAUACGGAGAGCGCAAGCAUUAAUCGGAAUUACUGGGCGUAAAGGGCGCGUAGGCGGUCUUGUAAGUCAGAUGUGAAAUUUCGCGGCUCAACUGCGGAGCUGCAUUUGAAACUACAAGACUAGAGGUAUGGCGGAGAAAACGGAAUUCCACGUGUAGCGGUGAAAUGCGUAGAUAUGUGGAGGAACACCGGUGGCGAAAGCGGUUUUCUAGCUUUAACCUGACGCUGAGGCGCGAGAGCAAGGGGAGCAAACAGGAUUAGAUACCCCCGUAGUCC